GACGAACGCUGGCGGCGUGCUUAACACAUGCAAGUCGAACGGAAAGGCCCUGCUUUUGUGGGGUGCUCGAGUGGCGAACGGGUGAGUAACACGUGAGUAACCUGCCCUUGACUUUGGGAUAACUUCAGGAAACUGGGGCUAAUACCGGAUAGGAGCUCCUGCUGCAUGGUGGGGGUUGAAAGUUUCGGCGGUUGGGGAUGGACUCGCGGCUUAUCAGCUUGUUGGUGGGGUAGUGGCUUACCAAGGCUUUGACGGGUAGCCGGCCUGAGAGGGUGACCGGCCACAUUGGGACUGAGAUACGGCCCAGACUCCUACGGGAGGCAGCAGUGGGGAAUAUUGCACAGUGGGCGGAAGCCUGAUGCAGCAACGCCGCGUGCGGGAUGACGGCCUUCGGGUUGUAAACCGCUUUCGCCUGUGACGAAGCGUGAGUGACGGUAAUGGGUAAAGAAGCACCGGCUAACUACGUG
rnacentral:rRNA from 1 species